AUUGAGCGCUGGCGGCAUGCUUUACACAUGCAAGUCGAACGGUAACAGGCCGCAAGGUGCUGACGAGUGGCGAACGGGUGAGUAAUGCAUCGGAACGUGCCCAGUCGUGGGGGAUAACGCAGCGAAAGCUGCGCUAAUACCGCAUACGAUCUAUGGAUGAUAGCGGGGGACCGUAAGGCCUCGCGCGAUUGGAGCGGCCGAUGUCAGAUUAGGUAGUUGGUGGGGUAAAGGCUCACCAAGCCGACGAUCUGUAGCUGGUCUGAGAGGACGACCAGCCACACUGGGACUGAGACACGGCCCAGACUCCUACGGGAGGCAGCAGUGGGGAAUUUUGGACAAUGGGCGCAAGCCUGAUCCAGCAAUGCCGCGUGCAGGAAGAAGGCCUUCGGGUUGUAAACUGCUUUUGUACGGAACGAAACGGCUCUGGUUAAUACCUGGGGCUAAUGACGGUACCGUAAGAAUAAGCACCGGCUAACUACGUGCCAGCCGCCGCCGUAACAC
rnacentral:rRNA from 1 species